UUCCAUCUACACUGUAGAAAUCUGCCCAAAAUCCGCCGAAGGCGGAGAAAAAAUUUUGGGUUUGGGUGCCGCGCAUCUACGCAGUGUAGACGGUUUUGGCCGGUUUUGGCGCAAAAAUGGGGGAAGCGUAGACGUUUUGGGGGGCUUGGGGGCUUAAGUGUAGAUGCCGCGGUCAGGGUCAUCUACGCAUGUGUAGAUGCCGGGUGCCUGAGGGCAUCUACAAGAUACGAGCACUGCUCUCGUGGCAGCUUCUGGCCGCCACUCCUAUCCAGGCUUACCCGCCAGGUGGCCAGGAGCACCAGGACCGCCCAAGCCAAUCAACACGGGCAUGAUUCAGCCGUUGAGCCGCUCGCCGGCCCCCCUCCCUGCCCACAUGCGCUGUCUCGCUCCAGGUGUUCAUUCGGGGCACCUGUCUACGGAGUCGGUUAGCAGAGCGGGGUCACCCUAUCAUCACAAACGCAUUUGCAGUCAAACUUCGGCUGCAGCUUGCUCCACGUCCGCAUCCCGCGCGUUCUCGAAUCGCACGCCGAUAAGCACGGGCAAAAUUCAGGCUUGCGCCGCCCGCCACUCAUCCCUGCUCACACCGCUUUCUCGCUCCAGGUGUUCACUCGGGCACCUAUCUGUGCCUCUGUGGAGCCCGGUAGCAGAGCGUGGUCAUUCUGUCACUGUGCAUCUGCCAAUCAAUGUAGAUGCCCUCAGGCGGCUCUACACAUGCGUAGAUGACCCUGACCGCGGCAUCUACACUGAAGCCCCCAAGCCCCCCAAAACGUCUACGCUUCCCCCAUUUUUGCGCCAAACCCGGCCAAAAAUGUCUACACCUGCGUAGAUGCGCGGCACCCAAACCCAAAAAUGUUUCUCCGCCUUCGGCGGAUUUUGGGCAGAUUUCUACAGUGUAGAUGGAAGAUACGAGCACUGCGAUAUCAACUGCCUAGCGGGGCCCGGCGGCGCCUAGCGGGGCCCGGCGGCGCCUAGCGGGGCCCGGCGGCGCCAGUAAAGCUAGCGCCCCGGUGGCGGCACCUGCGGCGCGGGUGCAGACACGCCGUUGCCCCGCAGGCCGUAGCGCCUCUCAGGGUUGCAGACUGACGCCCUGCGUGCCACAUGCCUCCUUUUGUCCGAGAGGAAGACUACAAGGGAAAGCGGAGGCAGGCCGGCCGGCCAGGCGACAGGCAACUAGGAAGCCACGUACGAAUAAAACAGGCAAACGCGCCGCCAUGAACGUGAACCCAGAAACAGCCCUAGGCAAAGUACGCUUCGGGCCCCCUCUCCUGCUUGUCACACUGUCGCCCGGCCAUUGCUUUGCUGCACGCUGCUCGCAUGUCGUUGAUUGUCGUCGUCGGGGCUCAUCCGUGGACGUCGGUCGCCUGUUUGAAGGUGCAGUGGUACCAAAUGUGGGUGCGCUAGGUCGCACAAUGUCUGCGUGGUGCUAUCGCCUGGCCGGGCGCCCCGAGCGUGAGGACUGCGCGUCAGCAAACUCUACGAGCCAGCCAGCAACUUGUCGGUACAGUAACUCCGGCGUUCGACCAGCCAUGCGCUUCUGCUGUGUAGUCACCGCGGACUCACUCUGCGACUCUUGCCCUGACACGCCUAGUGGGACCAGCUUGGCAGGGAUUCUUGCCAUCCCUGGGGCGCUGCACUGGAAGACCGCGCGCUCAGCAGCUCCCUUCCUCCCCAGUCUAUCGACUAUCGUGCAUGUUUGCCAGAUGAGUAGUAUGCUUAGUGCGUUGCACACCUGUGCUAUCCACACACCUGUGCUCCUAAUUGCCAUUCACACACUGUAUCAGCCUCAAGUUUGAAUUGUGCGCCAAAACAAGUACGGUAACAGCACACAUCACCCAUUGUCCGCGGCCCCCCGUGCCCAACAAAGCUCGGGAGGGGCGGUGCUACACGGCACACGGCAGGGCUGGCAGGGCUCAUCACCCGCCCCCGAACCCACAUCCGCAGCGGGCCCUGCGGGCCGGGCUCCACAUCGGCACCGUCUGCUGGCACGGUCAGCCUGCCGUCGUUUCCCCAAGCGGGCCCUGCCGGCCGCCAACAUCAGCAGCAGCAGCAGCCGUGGGAGCAGCGGUUGCAGUGGCGGCUGUGCUGCACCAAUUGACGGCGCUGCCGCACAUCCAGAUGCACACCAGGAGCUCGUCAGCAGCAAUCACACCCGCACCCAGAAGCAGCAGCUCACGACCGCUGCGUCCGACGGCUGCUGCUAUGCGGCCGUGUACAUCCCAGCCGCACGAACAUGCAACCAGUCACGGGCCCCAGCGCGCAGCCCAGCGAGCCGGUGCAGGAAGCGCAGCACGGCCACCUCGCCAGCACGCGCGGGAUGCUCAUCAUAAGCCUCGUCGUUCCGCUGUAGGGAGGGGUGGGGGCGGGGGUGGUGGAGUGAGGGCGGGGGGCAACGAGCGUUCGCAGGAGUUAGCGGUAUGGCGGUGUCUCCGGACAGAGCACUUGGCUUGAACGGUGUGGGUGUCCAGCUCAGUCCCCGGCGGGACUCAGGGGCGGACAGGGGAUGUAGCUUGAUCUAGCGGCCCUAUUGCCUGGGCAGAGGUCAUCAGAGCUGGUAGGAGGCAACGUGAGGGGCGUCGCUGCGAGGGCGGGGAUAAGGGCUCGGCCAUGUGCGACUGGGUGCUGCUUCAGUCGCCUUGUGCGCUCGGAACGUGCCUCCCGAACUGCUGAGACCCCCUCCCGCCUGCACCAGGGUCAUACCGCUCACCUCACAGCGCGGCCAGCAAGGCGUUCAUGUGCUCAAUAAUCAUGCACUGGAAAGGGUGUGUCUUUUGGAACAUGUCCAGGGCACCGACAGUCCGCAGGUCCUCAGCGGUCCGCCUCAGCCACGCGUCCGACUUGUUGUGUGCGAAGCCUGCGCGUACGCCGAUAAGCAUUACGUUUUGCAAACUUCCAGCAAAGCAACAUUUCUGCACACGCCCCCCAACCCCUGCGAGUUACCUUGCCGCAGCGCGUAGUUGUCAUCAGCCGCAUCUACAAAUUGCUGAGGGUCGUGCUCCUUGUUACAGGCUUUGAGGAGCCGUUUCACCAGCUCGGCGUUCUCGGGCUUCUCGCGCAGGAACUUGUUAGCUGGCCUGCUGUUCUGCGUGUCCCCCGCGCUGGCUUUACCUGACACCAUCCUCGCCAUGAAGACAUAUGCUAGGUUCGACACCAAGGGCUCGUAGGUCAGGCGCGCCUGGGCGUCGCGCCGCGCAUCGUGUUGUGUGAGCGGCAUUUGGCCCCCGCUGCAGCUCUAGGAAGUCGCCCUUCAGCAGUUGGUCAUCCCCGUUCCCGGGCUUGAUUGACUGGCUUGACCUAACCCCAAGCGGCACGAUGUCGACGAGCCUGCCGGGGCCGAUACUCCAGAGCGCGACUAAGGAUGUGAUGUUUAUAUCGGUGCAAAAAUCCUCGCGCUAAAUACAAGAAUGCGUGAGUGUGAAGGAGCAUUCGGGCACGCCCUAUCCUGUACACCGCAAGCCGACCGAGAUGAAACUCGGUCGGCCUCCUACAGCAUUCAGACAACAUUGCCUGCCAUAUGCAUACAGUAAUGCUGUAGCUGAAACAUGUAGCUGCGCCACCACGUGUGGCAAGCUUGAGUCUUUAGAUGCCCCAGCACAUUGGCCGGUACCGGAGAGAGGCCCAAGCAGCGCCAACAAGUUAUGCUUUCAACUGUCAGAGCCACAGGCCCACCCGAUCAGGUCGCACCACAUCAGCAGCAGUGGUGUGCAGGGUUAGGACAAGUGUUCCCCGGUCACGGGAAAAGGGGCUGAGCCCCUCCACAGUCUGAGGCCGAACAACCUCAUCGCCCGGACAUAGCCGGGGUCGGUUUCCACAGGCACAUAGCCAAACCAGGUGCCUAGCAAUCGCGAUGCCACAGCAGAGCCAACCGCAGCCAGACGCAGCACAGUUGUCAACAGCUGCACUACUUGUCAUGCCGCUACGCAAGCCCUGCCAGCUCCACCGCGGACCGCUACCUAGACACCGCCAGCCGGCUCCUCAGCCUGCGCGCUUGCGCCGCUUCUUGGGCGGCGCUGCGCUCUCCUCCUCCACGUGGCCUUUCCCGCCCCCUCCGCUACCAAGAUGCGCGCACGCGCCCCCGCUGCUGCCGCUGCCGCCGCCGCCGCUGCCGCCGCCGCCGCUGCCGCCGCCGCCGCUGCCGCCGCCGCCGCUGCCGCCGCCGCCGCUGCCACCGCCGCCGCCGCCGCCGCCAGUCUGCAGCGAUGCAGGUCGCUUGUGCCCCAGCAGCAUCUAGGAAAAUGUUGGAUACUGAGGCACCAGCAGCCUGCGCAGCACACCGGCUGUGAUCAACCUUCAACCAUGCCUGCCCCCGCCGCGGGCACUCCGGCCUCAGAGUUGUGCGAACCAGGCGAACCCCAGUCACCGCCAGUCACUGCCCAGUCACCAUUCACUCAAGUCACUGCCAGUGCACAUCUUGACGCCCACCCUGGACAGCACACGAGUGCGGCACACAGCUCAGCUCAGGGCCGCCUCGCUCGGGGCCUCUCGUGGCAGCUUCUGGCCGCCACUCCUAUCCAGGCUUACCCGCCAGGUGGCCAGGAGCACCAGGACCGCCCAAGCCAAUCAACACGGGCAU
rnacentral:lncRNA from 1 species